GACCGCGUAGCUCAGUUGGAAGAGCAUUGGGCUAGUACUCCAAAGGUCGUAGGUUCGAAUCCCGCCGUGGCCA